rnacentral:rRNA from 1 species
UACGUAGGGGGCAAGCGUUGUCCGGAAUCAUUGGGCGUAAAGCGCGUGUAGGCGGCUUGGUAAGUCCGCUCUGAAAUCCCGGGGCUCAACCCCGGAACUGCCUUUAAAACUGUUGGUCUGGAGGUCGAGAGAGGUGAGUGGAAUUCCGAGUGUAGAGGUGAAAUUCGUAGAUAUCAGGAGGAACACCAAUUGCGAAGGCAGCUCGCUGGGACGUUACUGACGCUGAGACGCGAAAGCGUGGGGAGCAAACAGG